CUUGGCUAUUGGCGUUUAUGUUAUGUUGUUGUCUUCCGUUCUUUGCUGAAGAAGCAUUGCAGUUAAUUUUUCGCGGUUGCAGUUGUCGGUAAAUUAAAGUGGGUGCAAGUUAAUUAAAUGGAAAGAUUGCUAAAAUAAACUAUUCCGCGCAUGCAAAUGUGUCACAAGUUCUCUAAUAAUUCACCAGUGAAAUUAAUUCCAAACUAAAGGAAGCAUUUGCGGUGUCCAUUUUUCCUUAAAAUUGCUUGGUUACGCGGCAAAAGGAUAACAAACAAACAAUCGGCGAAAGCGUGCGAAAAAGAUUUUACUACAUUUGCUGAUAAAAACAUGCUGCAAGCAAUUAAAAAAAAAAA